UACGUAGGGUGCAAGCGUUAAUCGGAAUUACUGGGCGUAAAGCGUGCGCAGGCGGUUGUGCAAGACCGAUGUGAAAUCCCCGGGCUCAACCUGGGAAUGGCAUUGGUGACUGUACGGCUAGAGUGUGUCAGAGGGGGGUAGAAUUCCACGUGUAGCAGUGAAAUGCGUAGAGAUGUGGAGGAACACCGAUGGCGAAGGCAGCCUCCUGGGCCAGCACUGACGCUCAGUGCACGAAAGCGUGGGGAGCAAACAGG
rnacentral:rRNA from 1 species